CCUACGGGUGGCAGCAGUAGGGAAUCUUCCACAAUGGGCGCAAGCCUGAUGGAGCAACACCGCGUGAGUGAAGAAGGGUUUCGGCUCGUAAAGCUCUGUUGUUGGAGAAGAACGUGCGUGAGAGUAACUGUUCACGCAGUGACGGUAUCCAACCAGAAAGUCACGGCUAACUACGUGCCAGCAGCCGCGGUAAUACGUAGGUGGCAAGCAUUAUCCGGAUUGAUUGGGCGUAAAGCGAGCGCAGGCGGUUGCUUAGGUCUGAUGUGAAAGCCAUCGGCUUAACCGAAGAAGUGCAUGGGAAAUCGGGCGACAUGAGUGCAGAAGAGGACAGUGGAACUCAAUGUGUAGCGGUGGAUGGCGUAGAUAUAUGGAAGAACACCAGUGGCGAGGGGGGCUGUCGG
rnacentral:rRNA from 1 species